rnacentral:rRNA from 1 species
CGGCAGCACGACCUUCGGGUUGGUGGCGAGUGGCGCACGGGUGCGUAACGCGUAUAGAACCUACCCUUUACAGGGGGAUAGCCCGGAGAAAUCCGGAUUAAUACCCCGUAGCACUGAGUUCCGGCAUCGGGACACAGUUAAAGCUGAGGCGGUAAAGGAUGGCUAUGCGUCCUAUUAGUUAGUAGGUGAGGUAACGGCUCACCUAGGCUACGAUAGGUAGGGGCCCUGAGAGGGGGAUCCCCCACACUGGUACUGAGACACGGACCAGACUCCUACGGGAGGCAGCAGUGAGGAAUAUUGGACAAUGGUCGAGAGACUGGUCCAGCCAUGCCGCGUGCAGGAAGACAGCCUUAUGGGUUGUAAACUGCUUUUGUACGGGAAGAAUAAUGCCCACGUGUGGGCAGAUGACGGUACCGUACGAAUAAGGACCGGCUAACUCCGUGCCAGCAGCCGCGGUAAUACGGAGGGUCCGAGCGUUAUCCGGAAUCAUUGGGUUUAAAGGGUCCGCAGGCGGGCCAGUAAGUCAGGGGUGAAAGUUUGCGGCUCAACCGUAAAAUUGCCUUUGAUACUGCUGGUCUUGAGUUACGGUGAAGUGGCUGGAAUAUGUGGUGUAGCGGUGAAAUGCAUAGAUAUCACAUAGAACACCGAUUGCGAAGGCAGGUCACUAACCGCCAACUGACGCUGAUGGACGAAAGCGUGGGGAGCGAACGGGAUUAGAUACCCCGGUAGUCCACGCCGUAAACGAUGGACACUAGCUGUCGGGCCUUAUGGUUCGGCGGCCAAGCGAAAGUGAUAAGUGUC